rnacentral:rRNA from 1 species
GAUCAUGGCUCAGGAUGAACGCUGGCGGCGUGCUUAACACAUGCAAGUCGAACGGUGAAGCAGAGCUUGCUCUGUGGAUCAGUGGCGAACGGGUGAGUAACACGUGAGCAACCUGCUCCGGACUCUGGGAUAAGCGCUGGAAACGGCGUCUAAUACUGGAUACGAGCAGCGGAGGCAUCUCCAGCUGCUGGAAAGAUUUUUUGGUCUGGGAUGGGCUCGCGGCCUAUCAGCUUGUUGGUGAGGUAAUGGCUCACCAAGGCGUCGACGGGUAGCCGGCCUGAGAGGGUGACCGGCCACACUGGGACUGAGACACGGCCCAGACUCCUACGGGAGGCAGCAGUGGGGAAUAUUGCACAAUGGGCGGAAGCCUGAUGCAGCAACGCCGCGUGAGGGACGACGGCCUUCGGGUUGUAAACCUCUUUUAGCAAGGAAGAAGCGAAAGUGACGGUACUUGCAGAAAAAGCGCCGGCUAACUACGUGCCAGCAGCCGCGGUAAUACGUAGGGCGCAAGCGUUAUCCGGAAUUAUUGGGCGUAAAGAGCUCGUAGGCGGUUUGUCGCGUCUGCUGUGAAAACCCGAGGCUCAACCUCGGGCCUGCAGUGGGUACGGGCAGACUAGAGUGCGGUAGGGGAGAUUGGAAUUCCUGGUGUAGCGGUGGAAUGCGCAGAUAUCAGGAGGAACCCCGAUGGCGAAGGCAGAUCUCUGGGCCGUAACUGACGCUGAGGAGCGAAAGGGUGGGGAGCAAACAGGCUUAGAUACCCUGGUAGUCCACCCCGUAAACGUUGGGAACUAGUUGUGGGGUCCAUUCCACGGAUUCC